rnacentral:lncRNA from 1 species
AUAAGUACAAAAUCAAGGAGCAUAUCCCGCGAAGUCACUAUAGCAGGCACAUCAAAGACAAGCCAAAUAUUUUAAUGCUAUAGUCAAAACUCAAAAGACUAUAACAGCCAAACCCUAAGAUAAGAGAGUUUGUUAACAUGUUUUUUAAAUUUCUUGAAAGUGUACAAUUUAUAUUUUAUAAUUCUAAUACUGUUUUGAGUAAUGACAGAAGCUAGCAGCGUUAGGAUGUUCUCCAUGAGAUCUUCGAUUUCGUUCAUUCCAUAUUUUAUAAACCAAAGUAGCCAAACAAGGUUUUUUGAUGCGGGAAGUCAUGUAAUCCAUCCAAGUAAAUUGAACAUGAUUAAUCAGUUGAUACCAAUUAAAUGGGAUCCCAAACCAGCCCUGAUGAGCAAAAGCAGUUUUCAAGAUAUGCCUAGAUACGUCACAGUCAAAAAA